rnacentral:rRNA from 1 species
UAGCGGAGGAAAAGAAACCAACAGGGAUUGCCCCAGUAAUGGCGAAUGAAGCGGCAAGAGCCCAAAUUUGAAAUCGGGCAACCGAGUUGUAAUUUGGAGACGGGACACUAGAGAGGAGGAAGGCGAUUAAGUGCCUUGGAACAGGCUGCCGUAGAGGGUGAGAGCCCCGUGAAUCGCUGGAGACCGAUCAAUUAGUGCCCGCCGAAGAGUCGAGUUGUUUGGGAAUGCAGCUCUAAGUGGGUGGUAUAUUCCAUCUAAGGCUAAAUAUUAGCGAGAGACCGAUAGCAAACAAGUACAGUGAUGGAAAGAUGAAAAGAACUUUGGAAAGAGAGUGAAAUAGUACGUGAAAUUGUUGAAAGGGAAGGGUAUUUGAUCCGACAUGGUGUUUAGCAGCGGCCCGUUCCUCGUGGAUGGGUGCACCUGGUUUACACUGGGCCAGCAUCGGUUCUGGGAGCCAUAUACGGGGUUCGUGAAUGUGGCCCUUCGAUUCUGUCGGAGGGUGUUAUAGCGCGGGCAUCUUGUGGCUAGCCGGGACCGGGGACUGCGGUGACUUGUCACCAAGGAUGCUGGCAGAACGAGCAAAUACCACCCGUCUUGA